CAGCAGCCGCGGGAAUACAGAGGGUGCGAGCGUUAAUCGGAUUUACUGGGCGUAAAGCGUGCGUAGGCGGCUUCUUAAGUCGGAUGUGAAAUCCCUGAGCUUAACUUAGGAAUUGCAUUCGAUACUGGGAAGCUAGAGUAUGGGAGAGGAUGGUAGAAUUUCAGGUGUAGCGGUGAAAUGCGUAGAGAUCUGGAGGAAUACCGAUGGCGAAGGCAGCCAUCUGGCCUAAUACUGACGCUGAGGUACGAAAGCAUGGGGAGCAAACAGGAUUAGAUACCCCCGUAGUCCCUGUCUCUUAUAC
rnacentral:rRNA from 1 species